rnacentral:rRNA from 1 species
UACGUAGGUGGCAAGCGUUGUCCGGAUUUAUUGGGUUUAAAGGGUGCGUAGGCGGCUUUGUAAGUCAGUGGUGAAAUAUGGCAGCUUAACUGUCAGGGUGCCAUUGAUACUGCGAGGCUUGAGUACAGAUGAGGUAGGCGGAAUUGACGGUGUAGCGGUGAAAUGCUUAGAUAUCGUCAAGAACACCGAUAGCGAAGGCAGCUUACUGGGCUGUAACUGACGCUGAGGCGCGAAAGCGUGGGGAGCGAUCCGG